rnacentral:rRNA from 1 species
AUUGAACGCUGGCGGCAUGCCUUACACAUGCAAGUCGAACGGUAACAGGUCUUCGGAUGCUGACGAGUGGCGAACGGGUGAGUAAUACAUCGGAACGUGCCUAGUAGUGGGGGAUAACUACUCGAAAGAGUGGCUAAUACCGCAUGAGAUCUACGGAUGAAAGCAGGGGAUCGCAAGACCUUGUGCUUCUAGAGCGGCCGAUGGCAGAUUAGGGAGUUGGUGGGAUAAAAGCUUACCAAGCCGACGAUCUGUAGCUGGUCUGAGAGGACGAUCAGCCCAACUGGGACUGGGAGACGGCCCAGACUCCUCCGGGAGGCAGCAGGGGGGAAUUUUGGACAAUGGGCGCAAGCCUGAUCCAGCAAUGCCGCGUGCAGGAUGAAGGCCUUCGGGUUGUAAACUGCUUUUGUACGGAACGAAAAGCCCCGGGUUAAUACCCUGGGGUCAUGACGGUACCGUAAGAAUAAGCACCGGCUAACUACGUGCCAGCCGCCGCCGUAA